GCCUUCAAACCUAGUCCUCUUUUAUUACAUGUGUUCAUUGCAUACUAACAAAUAUAUUCUAUUUGUCAAACAAGUGAAUCACAUUGCAAAGCAUAAUAUUUCUAAAUAUCCUUUCCCCAGACUCAGAACUAGACUGUUCCAAUGAGGAGAUUGGUGUUCAUUGUAGUGAAAAACUUGAGGUAGCACUUGCCUUCACACCACAUCAAAUAUAUGCCCUAUCAACUUUCAAUAGUAGAAUAAAGGCCUACCAUGGUUUCAACAGGUAAUGGGGAAUAAGGGUUCAAUUCCAGCGAGGGAGCCUGAGAAACAGCUACCACAUCCAAGAAAGG
rnacentral:ncRNA from 1 species